ACAAGUAAUCUAUCAACGCCACGACUAUCAUUAGUGAAAUUCUGCAACAACGUACAUUCCUUUCACAUGUAGCAUUGUAGCUAGUGGCACCAACCGAGCUAAAAUACUUGAAACGGACAAUGUAUAUGUCGUAUGAUUCGAAUUUAAACCCUUUAAGUUUCGCAAUAAAAUUCUUAUCAUCAAAUCAAAAAAUGAAUUCUGUUAUAAAAUCUUAUACUCUAUGAAUUCUUACGAUUUACAACACCUAAAUUUUAUAUUAAUUGUUCCUUGUGUCUUCUUCCUCUCAUGAAACUUCUUCAUCGAUCUCUCAUAAUCCAAACUCUUCUCUUCUUCGAUUGAACUCAAGCAUAACUCCGUGAGUUCCCCGUGAAGCAAUAAGGUGGCAUGUUCACUUCAUUUUCCCAUGAAUCAAGGCCAACCUUCAAUAAUAAAGCAAGACGUCCACGUCGCCUCUGAACAAACGAUACGGUUAAUUUAUAUUCACCGGUAGUGGAUUCAGAGUAUUCAGAGAACCCUCAUCAUAAACUCGAAUUAAACAAAAAUCUAUAAUGAAUUAAGAAUUUUGAUCCAUUUCAUUAUUUUACGAAUUCAAUGCUAUAAAACUAUGAAAAUACCUUGGUAACAAUUGAAAAAUACCAAAAUUUUACAUAUGAUAUCAUGAUUCCCGAUCUGGGUUAUGAGGAGAGCUAGCACACGUACCCCAAGAUCGGAUCUGCCCGUAUGAAAUCCAGAACCUCAUCCCAAGCAAAGAAGUUGUACGUGUUGAUAACUAAUAUACAAAUUAAGAUGAACCCCUUUCUUAGCCAGAACUUUAAACACCGAUCGAGAAAUCUUCAUUUUCAAACACUAAUAUCUCACAAUCCGUAAAUAUGGAUUACGAAAGUUGUACAAAGCUCAAGUUUUUUUGAGAGGGUCCGAAGACAUGGUGAUGAAUAAUAUAGCAACACAACUUUAAACACCGAUCGAGAGAUCUUCAUUUUCAAACACUAAUAUCCCACAAUCCGUAAAUAUGGAUUACGAAAGUUGUACAAAGCUCAUUUUUUAGAGAGUCCAAAGACAUGUCGAUGAAUAAUAUAGCAACACAACUUGAAGUUAUAUGAGAUGCAAACCAUUUUUCGUUGAUAAAUUGCAUGAAGUUAUAUGAGAUGCAAACCAUUCUUCGUUGAUAAAUUGCAUGAAUGACAAUUUAUCACAGCCAAACACAUAAAGGAAUAUCAUAUCCGACCACCAAUUAAGGAAGAGAAAGAGCCAAGCAUGAGAAAUAAGAGAGAGUGAGAAAGCAAAGGACUGACUGGCCGGGCUGGCCGCCCGCCGCCGCCGGAGCUAGCUAGCUAGCUGGGUCAUCGGCCGGUCAAGCAAGUCAUCCUUGGCUUUCACACGUACCGUUUGUAACUAGUUAUCUCUCUCAUCUUCAUCAUGCCCUGCUUCUCUUCCACUUUAUCACCUUAUAAGCUUUUACGGGACAGAAAUGUGGCUAUGGCGUUGAAGCACCAAUAUAUCUUAUAGGGCUGUAUAUAGUGGAGAAGAUCAUGGCAUAUACACAAUAUAUAUAUAGUACACAUGUCACGUGGCGGAUUGUAAAUGGUUGUUGAUUU
rnacentral:lncRNA from 1 species